GACGAACCGUGCGAGCGUUAUUCGGAAUCAUUGGGCUUAAAGCGCGUGUAGGCGGAUUCGUGCGUCUGUCGUUGAAAUCCCCCGGCUCAACCGGGGAAGGGGCGCGGAUACGACGAGUCUGGAGGGGCAUAGGGGGACCUGGAACUUCCGGUGGAGCGGUGAAAUGCGUUGAGAUCGGAAGGAACGCCCGUGGCGAAAGCGAGGUCCUGGAUGCCUACUGACGCUGAGACGCGAAAGCCAGGGGAGCGAACGGG
rnacentral:rRNA from 1 species